UACAGAGGGUGCGAGCGUUGUCCGGAAUCACUGGGCGUAAAGGGCGCGUAGGCGGCGUGACAAGUCACUUGUGAAAUCUCCGGGCUUAACUCGGAACGGUCAAGUGAUACUGUCGUGCUAGAGUACAGAAGGGGCAACUGGAAUUCUCGGUGUAGCGGUGAAAUGCGUAGAUAUCGAGAGGAACACCUGCGGCGAAGGCGGGUUGCUGGGCUGAUACUGACGCUGAGGCGCGAAAGCCAGGGGAGCGAACGGG
rnacentral:rRNA from 1 species